GAUGAACGCGGCGGCGUGCUUAACACAUGCAAGUCGAACGAAGCUGCCCAAAGGAAGUUUUCGGAUGGAAUUUAGGUAGACUUAGUGGCGGACGGGUGAGUAACGCGUGGAUAACCUGCCUUAUACAGGGGGAUAACGGAGAGAAAUUUCCGCUAAGACCGCAUAAGACCACAGCACCGCAUGGUGCAGGGGUAAAAUAUUUAUAGGUAUAAGAUGGAUCCGCGUCCGAUUAGCUUGUUGGUGAGGUAGAGGCUCACCAAGGCGACGAUCGGUAGCCGGCCUGAGAGGGUGAACGGCCACAUUGGGACUGAGACACGGCCCAAACUCCUACGGGAGGCAGCAGUGGGGAAUAUUGGACAAUGGGGGGAACCCUGAUCCAGCGACGCCGCGUGAGUGAAGAAGUAUUUCGGUAUGUAAAGCUCUAUCAGCAGGGAAGAAAAUGACGUACCUGACUAGAGCCCGCA
rnacentral:rRNA from 1 species